UCAAACUGCACAAAAAAUAAAAAAUCGUCCAUUGAAAGUUUAAACCAACACAAGCACAUACAUUGUCUUUCCUUUACAUCACAAAAAUAAAAACCGAUGUAUUUUAACCAAUAGUUACAACCAAAAUUAAAAGUUUUACAUUGCACUGCACUACAGAUUAGUAUCAAUGUCUUUACACAGAACGGAUGCAGAUUUUGUCGUCUUCACAGCUCUUCUUUUUCGUGCACUUGCCGCUCUUAGCUUCCAGAAUUCAGCCUCAUCCAUUUGUUGGAAUUCGUCAACCAUUUCUUCAAAGUUAACUUCCACGUCAUCCGAUGAACACUACAACAACAACUCCUCCACGGAUAUUCCAAGUCGUCCACUUUCAUAUUAUAGCAUAAUAUUUAGCUGACACCAUUGAGUGAAUCACACUAGUAGUGCUCGGUUGCUGAGGGAGCCCAAAUGCAUCGUCAGGCUUCUUACUAGAAUCAAAACCAAAAUCAACAAUACAAGCUUUCAAGUCCACAUUAUUAUGCACCAUAUCCAGAACUUCCAAAAAAGUUCAAGAAUUUUAAUUAAACAAAACAUAAAUAUUACUGCUGAAUACAUCGUGAUUCACCACUAUCAAGCAGUAGCAUAACAUACAAACUAUUGUAGAUUAAAAUUUAUAUGCAGCAUGCACUGUCAAAAGCAAAUGAAAACAGAGUAAAUUUUCAGAAAAUCUGGCAGAAUGUGCUUGAGUACAACAAGUGAAGAACAACCCUUGGAAACGUAAAAGUCAUGACUAUCAAUUAUACUAAAAAUUACACUGAAAUCACGUCUAGACUUGGUGUUCAAACGUCUAAGGCAAUAACGGAGCCAUGAUUUGAACUCGACAGCCAAAAAUUUUGAAAUAGAGGAAAUACAAAUUUAACGAUCAAACAGGAAAAAUUG
rnacentral:lncRNA from 1 species